GUUCAGCUAUGACAAAUACGUGGGGCGACUCCGAGGGAUAGUAACACGCAGGCGCCUUUAAGCAAAGUUCAAGCAGCUCCUAAAUUAACCGGAGUGAAUCCCCGAAGAUGCAGUAUUUAUGCACUGAAGCAGGAAGGGAGGGCUCUCAUCUCACCACUCUCAUCAGCCAUCACAGCCCAGGAAGCAAGAGAGAGAAAAUAAGAGUUAUUUACCUUUUGCUAAUUGGGAGCUGGGCAGCUCAGCUCUGUUGUAGGUACAAAGGGAGGCACAGAGAAGAGCUGCACGUGUCAGGGGGUGAGCACAUCAAGGCAGACGAUGGUGACACCUGUCUGGUUGAGUUUAGGCUGACAAAAUUCAGCAGAGACACCUCCGUGGAGGGAAGAGGAUGCUCGGGAGAAGCAGUGCUGCGGGGCCCUCCUCAGAAGCAGACCUCAUUUUUUUUAAUUAGGUUAUAACUUAAUUAUGGAUGCAAGGCUCUUCAUUCCUGACAAGUUUUCCAUAAUCUUAACUUGAUCUCGUGUCAGAAGGGUCCCAUACUCUGAUAACCAAGCCCAGCUAAGAGUUUAACUAGAAUAAUAGCUGAUUAAAAGGGGUUAAUAGAUACACCUCAAACAGAAGUAAAUUAACGGGAGAUGCUGUCUCUUGGCUAAUGGGAUCAGAACAGUAUUUGUUUAGUUUAUGAAUGAUUAAUCUCCCUCUCUCGACAUUCCUGGGAUGCUAAUUGCACUUAGGGAGCCCGUGUUUGUUUUUACAAGAGUUGGAGGUGGCAGAAGGAAGGCGAUGGCUGGCCCAAAGGGGAGUUCAUUCACCCGGGUAAUGGGCUCUUGGCACAGCCGCGGGGAAUCCGGGAAAGCCACGCUCCGGGAUGGGAGAUAUUGUUAAAGUCGAAUUAAAGAUGGUAUUGAAGUCACUUUGCUGUGUUUUAUGAGAAAACCUGUGAAGUUCACAAAGGCACCGAGAGCCGAGGCUCGUCUCCCCCUCCCGCCCGGGGAAUUUCCAGCACAAAAAUGCUGGGAUUUUUCCCUGUGGAAAUUCUCCAAACGGAUCACAGCAAAGCUAAAAGAAAAGGCCAAAGGAGGGAAACCACUUCUCCUGGCAACUUUUGCAUUUGACAGUUCAAAGCAGGAGAGCAGCAGCAUUUGUCAGGAGCGCUGGGAGGGAAGCAGUAAUUGCCUGGAAGCAGCCACAGAUGCAGGGCUCACUCCAGCUGCUGCUGCAUCGCUAAGAGUCUCUUCCAAGGGAUGGAUGUUUGAAAGAUGUGAGGAACAUUGGGAAGACCAAGAGAACACUUCUGCACUAAACGUCUUUUUGAGUCUGGGAUCAAUUGAAAUUAGGUGAGAGGCUGUUACCAAAACUGCAUGCUAAGAAAGGGGAUGCUCUUUUACUAUUCUCCAUAAAUAAUGUUACUUUGUGCUGUUCCCAGGUAUUUCAUUCAUCACUGGAUUGUGUAGGAAGCCUGAGCUGAAUAAAACCUUCUGAAAGAAGAUGAGACA
rnacentral:lncRNA from 1 species